AUACGGAGGGUGCGAGCGUUAAUCGGAAUUACUGGGCGUAAAGCGCGCGUAGGCGGUCUGGUCAGUCGGAUGUGAAAGCCCCGGGCUCAACCUGGGAAUUGCAUUCGAUACUGCCAGACUGGGGUGUGGUAGAGGGUAGCGGAAUUCCCGGUGUAGCGGUGGAAUGCGUAGAUAUCGGGAGGAACACCAGUGGCGAAGGCGGCUACCUGGACCAACACUGACGCUGAGGUGCGAAAGCGUGGGGAGCAAACAGGAUUAGAAACCCUAGUAGUCC
rnacentral:rRNA from 1 species